CUUUGUGUGUACGGGCUCUGCGCGUGGCGCGUCUUGUGUCCUCCCUGUCCUUCCCUGCAGAGACCCUCCCCGUGUCUGGACCGGGGAGGAGCAGACGCUGGACAGGGUGUGAGUGUCCAGCAGUGGAUUGUCAGAUUUGGUGUCCCGGCUGCUCCCCAUUGGGCCUUCCCCCAGGCCCGCAGAUCUAAUUUCUUCUGCUGGAGCUGGGACUCGGCCACCUUGACGCGCCCCCUCUGCCCCUGGAGCGUGUCUUUGGGCUUUGUGUGUGUGGCAGUGGGGUGCAUGUCUGUUUCCUAUCCGAGACACCUCUGGGUCGUUUGCUCGAAAACAGGCUGAGGGCCCGCGUAGCCUGGAGCACUUGGCUGGAAGAGUUUCUGGGAGAAUGCUGGCAAUUCCCAGGAAGAUAUGUGAGAAUGGAAAGGUUGCUACACCCAAUAGUGGAGCAAAGGCUGUGAUUAUGGAGGAUUGGACCUGCAAUCUCCAGAACAGAGCAACCUUGUAAAAUGUGUGUGGGCAGCACAGAGACCUUGGGCAAGUUAACAGUUUCCUCAUCUGUAAAUAAUGAUUUAUGGAAAGUGCCUG